rnacentral:rRNA from 1 species
CACGUAGGGGGCAAGCGUUGUCCGGAAUCAUUGGGCGUAAAGAGCUCGUAGGCGGCUCAGUAAGUCGGGUGUGAAACCUCCAGGCUCAACCUGGAGACGCCACCCGAUACUGCUGUGGCUAGAGUCCAGUAGGGGAGUGUGGAAUUCCCGGUGUAGCGGUGAAAUGCGCAGAUAUUGGGAAGAACACCAGUGGCGAAGGCGGGUCUCUGGGCCGAUACUGACGCUGAGGAGCGAAAGCGUGGGGAGCGAACAGG